GAUGAAUGCCUGGGUGCCGACAUUGUGCAAAGGGCACUUGUGGCCCCUGCAGCUCUGAUUGCACACAAUGCAGGAGUAGAGGGCGAGGUGGUUGUGGACAGAAUUAAGGACAGCGAAUGGGAGGUAGGUUACAAUGCGAUGACUGACAAGUAUGAGAACCUGGUUGAAUCGGGCAUCAUCGACCCAACAAAAGUUACAAGGUGUGCGCUUCAGAACGCUGCAUCAGUUGCAGGAAUGGUCCUAACUACGCAGGCGAUUGUGGUGGAAAAGCCGAAGCCAAAGGCUCCCACAGCUGCACAACCGGAGG
rnacentral:misc_RNA from 1 species